CCUUCGAUAGCUCAGUUGGUAGAGCGGAGGACUGUAGCGGAUAUAUCAGGCAUCCUUAGGUCGCUGGUUCGAAUCCGGCUCGAAGGA
rnacentral:tRNA from 1 species